GAUGAACGCUAGCGGCGUGCUUAACACAUGCAAGUCGAGCGAGUGAGUUCUUCGGAACGAUCUAGCGGCGGACGGGUGAGUAACACGUGGGCAACCUGCCUCAUAGAGGGGAAUAGCCUCCCGAAAGGGAGAUUAAUACCGCAUAACAUCGUUUAAGGGCAUCCUUCGAUGAUCAAAGGAGCAAUCCGCUAUGAGAUGGGCCCGCGGCGCAUUAGCUAGUUGGUGAGGUAACGGCUCAGCAAGGCGACGAUGCGUAGCCGACCUGAGAGGGUGAUCGGCCACAUUGGGACUGAGACACGGCCCAGACUCCUACGGGAGGCAGCAGUGGGGAAUAUUGCACAAUGGGGGAAACCCUGAUGCAGCAACGCCGCGUGAGUGAUGACGACCUUCGGGUUGUAAAGCUCUGUCUUUGGGGACGAUAAUGACGGUACCCAAGGAGGAAGUCACGGCUAACUACGUGCCAGCCGCCGCAGUAA
rnacentral:rRNA from 1 species